rnacentral:rRNA from 1 species
GGAUGUGAUCAUACCAACACUAACGCAUCGGAUCCUAUCAGAACUCCGAGGUUAAGCGUGCCUGGGCGAGAGUAGUACUAGGAUGGGUGACCCUCUGGAAGUCCUUGUGUUGCAUCCC